UACGGGGGGGGCAAGCGUUGUUCGGAAUUACUGGGCGUAAAGGGCUCGUAGGUGGCCAACUAAGUCAGGCGUGAAAUCCCCAGGCUUAACCUGGGAACUGCGUCUGAUACUGGAUGGCUUGAAUUCGGGAGAGGGAUGCAGAAUUCCAGGUGUAGCGGUGAAAUGCGUAGAUAUCCGGAGGAACACCAGUGGCGAAGGCGGCUUCCUGGACCGACACUGACGCUGAGGCGCGAAAGCUAGGGGAGCAAACGGG
rnacentral:rRNA from 1 species